rfam:Oryza rufipogon genomic scaffold, chr12
AGCGGAGUAGAGCAGUUUGGUAUAGCUCACAAGGCUCAUAACCUUGAGGUCACGGGUUCGAUUCCAGUCUCCACAC